rnacentral:rRNA from 1 species
AGCCAGAGAUGCUCUGCUUUAACUGGGACAAGUGGCGCACGGGUGCGUAACGCGUAUGCAACCUACCUUAAUCAAGGGGGAUAGCCUCUCGAAAGAGAGAUUAACACCGCAUAACAUCAUUUUACGGCAUCGUAGAAUGAUCAAAUAUUUAUAGGAUUAAGAUCAGGCAUGCGUGACAUUAGCUAGUUGGUGAGGUAACGGCUCACCAAGGCUACGAUGUCUAGGGGAUCUGAGAGGAUGACCCCCCACACUAGGUACUGAGACACGGACCAGACUCCUACGGCAGAGGCAGCAGUAAGGAAUAUUGGUCAAUGGAGGCAACUCUGAACCAGCCAUAGCCGCGUGCAGGAAGACGGCCCUAUGGGUUGUAAACUGCUUUGCAUACGGGAAUAAACCUCUUCUACGUGUAGGGAGUUGAAUGUACUGUAAGAAUAUAGGAUCGGCUAACUCCGUGCCAGCAGCCGCGGUAAUACGGAGGAUCCAAGCGUUAUCCGGAUUAAUUGGGUCUAAAGGGUGCGUAGGCGGCCUAUUAAGUCAGGGGUGAAUGACGGUGCCUCAACCAUCGCAGUGCCCUUGAUACUGAUACGGGCUUGAUUACACUUGAGGUAGGAUGAAUGUGACAAGUAGCGGUGAAAUGCAUAGAUAUGUCACAGAAACACCAAUUGCGAAGGCAGCUUACUAUAGGUGUCAAUGACCGCUGAGGCACGAAAGCGUGGGGAUCAAACAGGAUUAGAUACCCUGGUAGUCCACGCCCUAAACGAUGAAUACUAGCGAUGUUAGCGAUAUACAGUUAGCGUCACCAAGCGAAAGCGUUAAAGUAUUCCACCUGGGGAGUACGCCCGCAAGGGUGAAACUCAAAGGAAUUGACGGGAGCCCGCACAAGCGGAGGAGCAUGUGGUUUAAUUCGAUGAUACGCGAGGAACCUUACCCGGGCUUGAAAGUUAGUGAAUGAUCUAGAGAUAGGUCAGUGAGCAAUCACACGAAACUAGGUGCUGCAUGGCUGUCGUCAGCUCCACUCCGUGAGGUGUUGGGUUAAGUCCCGCAACGAGCGCAACCCCUAUGUUUAGUUGCCAGCAUGUCAUGGUUGGGGACUCUAAACAGACUGCCUGGUGCAAACAGAGAGGAAGGAGGCCCAUACGACGUCAAGUCAUCAUGGCCCUUACGUCCGGGGCUACACACGUGCUACAAUGGGCAGUAACAGAGGGCAGCUACCUGGUAACAGGAUGCCAAUCUCAAAAAGCUGUUCACAGAGCUCGGAUAGAGGUCUGCAACUCGACCUCUUGAAGUUGCGAUUCGCUAGUAAUCGCAAGAUCAGCAAUGCUGCGGUGAAUACGAGCGAUCGGGCCUUGUACACACCGCCCGUCAAGCCAUGGAAGUUGGGCGGUACCUGCAAGUACGUUCA